rnacentral:rRNA from 1 species
AUUGAACGCUGGCGGCAGGCCUAACACAUGCAAGUCGAGCGGUAGAGAGAAGCUUGCUUCUCUUGAGAGCGGCGGACGGGUGAGUAAUGCCUAGGAAUCUGCCUGGUAGUGGGGGAUAACGUUCGGAAACGGACGCUAAUACCGCAUACGUCCUACGGGAGAAAGCAGGGGACCUUCGGGCCUUGCGCUAUCAGAUGAGCCUAGGUCGGAUUAGCUAGUUGGUGAGGUAAUGGCUCACCAAGGCGACGAUCCGUAACUGGUCUGAGAGGAUGAUCAGUCACACUGGAACUGAGACACGGUCCAGACUCCUACGGGAGGCAGCAGUGGGGAAUAUUGGACAAUGGGCGAAAGCCUGAUCCAGCCAUGCCGCGUGUGUGAAGAAGGUCUUCGGAUUGUAAAGCACUUUAAGUUGGGAGGAAGGGUUGUAGAUUAAUACUCUGCAAUUUUGACGUUACCGACAGAAUAAGCACCGGCUAACUCUGUGCCAGCAGCCGCGGUAAUACAGAGGGUGCAAGCGUUAAUCCGAAUUACUGGGCGUAAAGCGCGCUUAUGU